UACGGUGAAUACGUUCCCGGACCUUGUACACACCGCCCGUCAAGCCAUGGAAGCUGGGUGUACCUAAAGUCGAUAACCGUAAGGAGUCGCCUAGGGUAAACUAGUAACUGGGGCU
rnacentral:rRNA from 1 species